rnacentral:rRNA from 1 species
UGCUAAUAAUUCUCUAGUGGCGCACGGGUGAGUAACACGUGAGUACCUGCCCCCAAGAGUGGGAUAGCCCCGGGAAACUGGGAUUAAUACCGCAUAAAGCAAUAAAGCAGCAAUGCGCUUGGGGAUGGGCUCGCGUCCUAUUAGUUAGUUGGUGAGGUAACGGCUCACCAAGGCGAUGACGGGUAGCCGGUCUGAGAGGAUGUCCGGCCACACUGGAACUGAGACACGGUCCAGACACCUACGGGUGGCAGCAGUCGAGAAUCAUUCACAAUGGGGGAAACCCUGAUGGUGCGACGCCGCGUGGGGGAUAAGGUCUUCGGAUUGUAAACCCCUGUCAUGUGGGACAUUAAAAGAUAGUACCACAAGAGGAAGAGACGGCUAACUCUGUGCCAGCAGCCGCGGUAAUACAGAGGUCUCAAGCGUUGUUCGGAAUCACUGGGCGUAAAGCGUGCGUAGGCGGUUUCGUAAGUCGUGUGUGAAAGGCGGGGGCUCAACCCCCGGACUGCACAUGAUACUGCGAGACUAGAGUAAUGGAGGGGGAACCGGAAUUCUCGGUGUAGCAGUGAAAUGCGUAGAUAUCGAGAGGAACACUCGUGGCGAAGGCGGGUUCCUGGACAUUAACUGACGCUGAGGCACGAAGGCCAGGGGAGCGAAAG